rnacentral:rRNA from 1 species
GACGAACGCUGGCGGCGUGCUUAACACAUGCAAGUCGAACGGUAAGGCCCUGCUUUUGUGGGGGGCUCGAGUGGCGAACGGGUGAGUAACAAGUGAGUAACCUACCCUCGACCUUGGGAUAACUUCAGGCAACUGGGGCUAAUACCGGAUAGGUGUUCCGGCUGCAUGGUGGGAGUUGGAAGGGUUCGAUGGUUGGGGAUGGACUCGCGGCUUGUCGGCUUGUUGGCGGGGUAGUGGCUUACCAAGGCUUUGACGGGUUGCCGGCGUGACAGGGUGACCGGCCAAAUGGGGACUGAGAUACGGGCGGGACUACUACGGGAGACAGCACAGUGGAAGAAUGCAUGAUGGACGGACGCCGGGUGCAGCAUCGCCGCGUGCGGGUUGACGGCCUUCUGGUUGUAUAACGCUUUCGCCUGUCACGAAGCGUGAGUGACGGUAAUGGGUUAAGAAGCACCGGCUAACUACGUG